rnacentral:rRNA from 1 species
GCCCUGAUGUGGGGGAUAACCAUUGGAAACGAUGGCUAAUACCGCAUGAUAGCUUCGGCUCAAAGAGGGGGACCUUAGGGCCUCUCGCGUCAGGAUAUGCCCAGGUGGGAUUAGCUAGUUGGUGAGGUAAGGGCUCACCAAGGCGACGAUCCCUAGCUGGUCUGAGAGGAUGAUCAGCCACACUGGAACUGAGACACGGUCCAGACUCCUACGGGAGGCAGCAGUGGGGAAUAUUGCACAAUGGGCGCAAGCCUGAUGCAGCCAUGCCGCGUGUGUGAAGAAGGCCUUCGGGUUGUAAAGCACUUUCAGUCGUGAGGAAGGUGGUAGUGUUAAUAGCACUAUCAUUUGACGUUAGCGACAGAAGAAGCACCGGCUAACUCCGUGCCA